GCGCCAGUUUGCAGUGACCCCAUCCGGACAAAACCCAACAGCGUUCGCUGCAGUGCAUUGCUCAUUAUGUGCGUAGGACGACAAUGGUGCACUAUCAGAAGGAAGGAGAUGCAAAGAGAGCCCAAGCCAAGUAGGGAGAGAAGGCAGUACAGUUUCAGAUGGAGAAAGAGAAAGCGCACCUACGUGCUGUAGAGCAAAAAGAGUGAAGUGAUGAGGUAAGGUGCAUUGUCAUCACACAGACCAUGACAUUGGUAUAGUGACGGGUGUUAUUGUGGAGCAUUUUGCACAUGGCUAAUUGAAUUGCAGUCCAUACAAGCAUUUUCAGAAAGCACUUUUUCAAUGGAACCUUUUCAAGUGCUUGUUGUCAUUAGUGCUAGAGGCAAGGACAAUGAAAGUGACACAGAGGCUGAAAGUGGGAGGUUGGACACUAAUACUA